CCUACGGGAGGCAGCAGUGAGGAAUAUUGGUCAAUGGGCGCGAGCCUGAACCAGCCAAGUAGCGUGAAGGAUGACUGCCCUACGGGUUGUAAACUUCUUUUAUAAAGGAAUAAAGUGAGGCACGUGUGCCUUUUUGUAUGUACUUUAUGAAUAAGGAUCGGCUAAGUCCGUGCCAGCAGCCGCGGUAAUACGGAGGAUCCGAGCGUUAUCCGGAUUUAUUGGGUUUAAAGGGAGCGUAGAUGGGUUGUUAAGUCAGUUGUGAAAGUUUGCGGCUCAACCGUAAAAUUGCAAUUGAUACUGGCAGUCUUGAGUGCAGUAGAGGUGGGCGGAAGUCGUGGUGUAGCGGUGAAAUGCUUAGAUAUCACGAAGAACUCCGAUUGCGAAGGCAGCACACUGGACUGCAACUGACGCUGAGGCUCGAAGGUGUGGGUAUCGAACAGGAUUAGAUACCCGAGUAGUC
rnacentral:rRNA from 1 species